GGAUGUGCACCACGGAGGGGCUGAGGCUGGGAGCCAUAGUCAGGGGCACCGGGUGGGCUUUGGCGGGGGAUCGACCUGCCUUUCAGGUGCCGGGGGUUUGGGAGCAGGGGAACGGGCCCCGGGCCGAUUCCUGACCGCCCCCUCCGCGCCCCGCCCCCACUCUCUGUCGCUUUCCCCGCCCGCCCGAACACCCGCCCCCGGGCGCCCGCCCGCUCCCACCUGUCACCCCCAUGCAGACCGGGGCUCUGUCCUGGAGGCGGGGAGCGGGCUGGUAGAUGCUGCCUCUCAGCCUCCAGUGUGCUCUUUGGCUGGGAGACUGGGAGGCGCUGGAAAUAUUGGAGGCGCUGGUGCCUGUGAUGUCGCCGCCUCUGUGACGUCCCUGCCGCGACCCCGCAGGCAGGGAGCCGCAUUUAGGUUCCGGGCGGGCGAGUGGGCGGGCAGGCGGGGGACGGCCCGAGUGAGGUGUCCUCCGAAGGCUGCGGGCCCGAAGCCAGAACCCCUCUCCAAAGACCUCGGGAGUAGGGCUCGCGCUUCCGCUGCGGGCCCAGAGCAAGAGGCAGGCGGCAGGGAGAGGCUGUCGAUGCUGAGGCACGAGAGAAUUUGCUCCUGCUCCUCCAGAGAAAAUGGCUGGGACAGGCUGUUCAGGAAUAAUUCUGCAGGGAAAAGUGGAAGAAAAUGGCUGUGAAAGACUGGGAGGAGGCUGGCUGUGUUUUCAGGGGUUCUUCCUGCACAGUCUGUAGAAGCUGAGCUGCUGGGGAAGGGGCUGGAAGAAAGCCCACACCGCAGGUGUCAGUAGCAAAUUGAAAAACUACAGAAUCAGUUCCAGAGGACUUUGUUAACAAGAAAGAGAAGAUUGAAAAAAGCCCUGGGGCUACACCAACUCAAGAGCUCCUAGGCAAAGUGGCGUCCUGGACCCACCAUCUCUCCUACCCUGUCCUCAGUCAGUACUUCCCCAGGCACCGUUGGUUCUGGUGCGGGGCGAGUUCAACCCUGGGACCACCCUCAUCCUUAUAACUACCAGCUGUCUUUGGUGAGGUGCAAGAUCUCUCUGGUUUUAUUUCAUUUUCAUUCCUAUAAUCACGGCCUUUUUGUGCCCAUCCCUCAGGUGACGUUCUAUUGUGUUUGAUGUAUCAUUUUUGAUUGGGUUGUGUUCUUGCAAAAUGUGUGUUGUUUUAUUUAUCGAUUUUUAUUUUUGUAUUUUUUGUUUUUUAAAGAGACGAGGUCUCACCAUGUUGCCCAGGCUGGACUCCAACUCCUGGGCUCAAGCGAUCCUUCCACCUCAGCCUCCUGAGUGGCUGGGACUACAGAUGUGCGCCACCAUACCUGGCUAUUGAUCAGUUUUUAGUUUACCAAACAUUACCAUCUGGGUUCCAUUCUGUGUCGGGUUCUCUUUCCACUCGGCA